rnacentral:lncRNA from 1 species
GCACUAGUAACAUAUCCAAUAGAGUAAAUAAAUUUAAAGUAUAAUCGAAGUGAUUACACAACUAAUAAAGACCAUAAUAACGGAUUCAACUAAAUAAUAAAAUGAAUUAAAGACAGUGGCUACUGAGUUUAUUUUUACCAAAUUCAAAAAGCAUUGAACAUUCUAAAUUCUACCUAGAACCAUUGUUACUCAAAACAAUGUCCACAAACCGCUUCCUCAAUCCAGGAGUAUCCAUUGUGAAAAAAAUAGUCGCAAAGGUUAUUGUCUUUGGUGAUAAGCAUACCAGCCAUUACCACUUCUGCAUCAGACAGUCCUUCAAUUUCUUUUAAAAUAGAGACAAUCUGGUUCCUCCUAUCAGCUGUGUGUUUCUCAUGCACAAAACAAGAAGUGAAGACUUGUUUCAUAUUCUCAAUACCAUUAGCAUAAAUCUCACCCAAUUUGUUCAAUGAAUUUGACAUGCUAUCAGAAGCAUCAUCGUUAUACUUCACCCUUUU